GGGUUGUGAGGUUAAGCGACUAAGCGUACACGGUGGAUGCCCUGGCAGUCAGAGGCGAUGAAGGACGUGCUAAUCUGCGAUAAGCGUCGGUGAGGUGAUAUGAACCGUUAUAACCGGCGAUUUCCGAAUGGGGAAACCCAGUGUGUUUCGACACACUAUCAUUAACUGAAUCCAUAGGUUAAUGAGGCGAACCGGGGGAACUGAAACAUCUAAGUACCCCGAGGAAAAGAAAUCAACCGAGAUUCCCCCAGUAGCGGCGAGCGAACGGGGAGGAGCCCAGAGCCUGAAUCAGUGUGUGUGUUAGUGGAAGCGUCUGGAAAGGCGCGCGAUACAGGGUGACAGCCCCGUACACAAAAAUGCACAUAUUGUGAGCUCGAUGAGUAGGGCGGGACACGUGGUAUCCUGUCUGAAUAUGGGGGGACCAUCCUCCAAGGCUAAAUACUCCUGACUGACCGAUAGUGAACCAGUACCGUGAGGGAAAGGCGAAAAGAACCCCGGCGAGGGGAGUGAAAAAGAACCUGAAACCGUGUACGUACAAGCAGUGGGAGCCUCUUUAUGGGGUGACUGCGUACCUUUUGUAUAAUGGGUCAGCGACUUAUAUUCUGUAGCAAGGUUAACCGAAUAGGGGAGCCGAAGGGAAACCGAGUCUUAACUGGGCGUUAAGUUGCAGGGUAUAGACCCGAAACCCGGUGAUCUAGCCAUGGGCAGGUUGAAGGUUGGGUAACACUAACUGGAGGACCGAACCGACUAAUGUUGAAAAAUUAGCGGAUGACUUGUGGCUGGGGGUGAAAGGCCAAUCAAACCGGGAGAUAGCUGGUUCUCCCCGAAAGCUAUUUAGGUAGCGCCUCGUGAAUUCAUCUCCGGGGGUAGAGCACUGUUUCGGCAAGGGGGUCAUCCCGACUUACCAACCCGAUGCAAACUGCGAAUACCGGAG
rnacentral:rRNA from 1 species